CUGAUUGCCUAGGUUGCAGUGGUAAGAGUCGUUGCCGAUGGAGUUCCAGGUGCCAGAGCUUCGAUAAGAAAGAGGCGUCUGAGUAAAUAGAAGUGAGAUCUUUCUAGUUCUUGAACUAGACUUCCCCAUCUUGAAGUCAAGUGAGGAACUCUUUCUCUUAUAUAGGCUAUUUUUCCUUGAAAUCCCAUUCUAUCCAUCUUAUUCUUCUGUGUAAGUAAAGACUAGCAGGGUAUUCUCUUGCAUUAAUUCCUCUCUCACUCACGAUGAAAGCUAAGAGUUUGCUCGAAGACAGCCUUUAAUUUUUAGUAGUAAUCUCUCCUAUCCUUUAGGCGGGGAUAAUUUCAUAGGAGAACUUGGUUACAUAGGAAGGAAAGGCUUAAACUAGAAGGGAUAAGAAAGGGAAUUACACUAUAUCUUGGUAAUGGCACUCCAACAAGCUCGGCAGGGAGAGAAAAAAGAGAACGAGAAAAGGAAAUAUGAAGAAAAGGGUAUGAAAUAGGUUGCUUAUAGCGAUUGCGAUUGUGAUUACUUAUUUGGUUGGUAUUACCAACCUGACCAAAGAAUAAGAUAAAAAGAAGAGUUCCCGUCUACGGCUACAUGCCCAUUAAGAGCUAUACCAGGAGUCGAGCUAACUGCAUAGGCAGAGGGGAACUUUCCUAAAAAGCCUAAUAGUAAUUAACCGUAUUGGAAAUGACAAAUCACACUCUAAAAGGAGGUUCCCUCCCAAUAAAUGUCAAGAGGGAGCAAGGCGUGAUUGCUCUGUCGUCCUCCGACCGCCUCCCUUUCCACCUCUAAGUAGUGGUGUUGGUGUGUCUCGUUGCAAUCAUUCUGGUCAAUCCCUUUCCUGAACCAUAGGUAAGGGAUGAUAGGAGAUGGCCCCUACAGCAAAAUAAACCAACCCCUCAUUUGAGAGAGUAAAUAGAAUAGUGUCAGGCUUACGACAGUCUGACUUUUGAAUGACUAAGAAACUACUAAGCUCCCGCCCACCCCCAACCAAUUAGGGUAAAGUGUUCAUUCAUACCUUCAACAGCACCAAGAUAUUGUCCCAUGACCAAGUUUACUUCAUCUUCAAGAGCAAGCAUCCUAGCUCUCAGGGCCUCAGGCAACCCUAGAUCCUUUCCUACUUCCUUAGUGAUUCCAAGAAGAUGCUUCAACCCCGUUAAGUUUUAGUUGACUAUCACAGCCCAAUAAAUAUUUCCAAUUCCAUUUUGGAAUAUUUUCAUUCGGCAAUGGAACGACCUAUGUUGUAAGGGAGGACAGAAGGUAAACCGUCUUUCUUUGGUCGCCUCUCCCGUCUGGUUGAGUAGCUUUUGCUCCUUCCUACUUAAUUUAUUAUAAUAUAAUCCUAAGCUGCCACGUGGACUAUUGGGAGCUUUUAAGUCAUAGUGGGAGCUUUCGAAAAUCACUUAGCAGGUCAAGAUCAUAGGAAGAGGGAAGAACAAGGGAGAAGAUCUUAUUUAAAAGAAGACGAUUCCAAAAGAAAGUCAAAAUGGGGAAUAGAGUGCCUUAAAGGUAAAUAAAAAAGAUCCUAAAUAAAAAAUAAAAAACCUAUUAAACCGAUUACAAGAAUACCAGUCACAGUACCAAUUAUCCAAAGAGGAAUCCUUCCAGUAGUAUCGGUCAUUUACCCCACUUUCCUUCAGAUUUCAUCAAGUGGUCAUGCUAGAGACAUAAACAGCCUUGGAUAAUUGAAUUAUGAGAUCCUUCUGAACGAGCUAAGAGAAUCUUAUUUAUUCUCUUUCGUUUUGUUAAUUGAAGAAAUAAUUGGAAAAUAAAAAAGCAAGUAAAAAAAUGAGUAAUAACCCCCAGUAGAGACUGGUAUGAUGAUAUUCAACAUUUUGUUCAUUUGGGUUUGACUGUGUUGUAGCUCUAUAGUUCGGAUGUUCUUUAUCAUUAGAUGAACUUCUGAUAUUGAUCCCCAAAAAAAGACGGUAGGUACAGCUAGGCCAUGAACAGCCAACCAUCGUACUGUAAAAAUUGGAUAGGUUCAAUCUAUAGUCAUUAGGGCCUCCUAAAAUUAUCUGCUAAAUUCAUUAAGUUUUUCUAAAGGAUCAAAAUGGACAGUUAUUAAUAGAAUUCCUUGUCGAAUAAGUUUCGACCCACACGAAAAGCGUAACGAUCUGGGCACUAUCUCGGAGAGAGGCUCAAUGAAAUAGAUAUGUCCAUGAAGAUAUGGACUACCUGUACCUAGACAGAAAGACCCUAUAAAGCUUCACUGUUCCCUGGGAUUGGCUUUGGGCCUUUCCUGCGCAGCUUAGGUGGAAGGCAAAGAAGACCUCCUUUUGGGAGGGCCCAAGCCAUCAGUGAGAUACCACUCUAGAAGGGCUAGAAUUCUAACCUUGUGUCAGGACCUACGGUCCAAGGGACAGUCUUAGGUAGAUAGUUUCUAUAGGGCGUAGGCCUCCUAAAAGUUAAUGGAGGCGUGCAAAGAUUUCCCCGGGCUGGACGGAGAUUGGCCCUCGAGUACAAAGGCAAAAGGGAGCUUGACUGCAAGACCUACCCAUCGAGCAGGGAUGAAAGUUGGCCUUAUUGAUUCAACGGUGCCGAGUAGAAGGGUCGUUGCUCAAUGGAGAAAAGUUACUCUAGGGAUAAUAGGUUAUCUUCCCCAAGAGCUCACAUCAACGGGAAGGUUUGGCACCUCGAUGUCGGCUCUUUCCUACCUGGGGUUGUCGUAUAUUCCAAAGGUUGGGUUGUUCGCCUAUUAAAGUAAUACGUGAGCUGGAUUUAGAAUGUAGUGAGACAGUUCGGCCCAUAUUUGAUGUGGGCGUUAGAGCAUAGAGAGGACCUUUCCCUAGUACGAGAGGACCAGAAAGGACACACCUCUGGUGUACCAGUUAUUGUGCCCAUGGUAAAUACUGGGUCGCCAAGUGCGGAGCGGAUAGCUGCUGAAAGCAUCUAAGUAGUAAGCCCACCCCAAGAUGAGUGCUCUCCUAUUUCGACUUUUCCAGAGUUUUCGGUAGCAUAGCCGAGACAGUGAUGGGUUCUCUACCCCUGCAGAGAUGGAGCGACAAAAGUCUUUUUGAGAAUUCAAGAGAAGGUCACAGUGAGACGAGCCACUUAUCAUUACGAUAGGUGUCAAGUGGAAGUGCAGUGAUGUAUGCAGCUGAGGCAUCCUAACAAACCGAUAGACUUGAAC
rnacentral:rRNA from 1 species